CCUACGGGAGGCAGCAGUGAGGAAUAUUGGUCAAUGGACGAGAGUCUGAACCAGCCAAGUAGCGUGAAGGAUGACUGCCCUAUGGGUUGUAAACUUCUUUUAUAUGGGAAUAAAAUGUUCCACGUGUGGGAUUUUGUAUGUACCAUAUGAAUAAGGAUCGGCUAACUCCGUGCCAGCAGCCGCGGUAAUACGGAGGAUCCGAGCGUUAUCCGGAUUUACUGGGUUUAAAGGGAGCGGAGGGGGGUUGUUAAGCCAGUAGUGAAAGUUGGGGGCUCAACCGUCAAACUGCUGUUGAAACUGGGAGUCUUGAGUGCAGUAGAGGCAGGCGGAAUUCGUAGUGUAGCGGUGAAAUGCGUAGAUAUUACGAGGAACACCGGUGGCGAAGGCAGCUCACUGGACUGUAACUGACGCUGAGGCUCGAAAGUGUGGGUAGCAAACAGGAUUAGAUACCCGAGUAGUC
rnacentral:rRNA from 1 species